UCGGACGGCAGCAGGUCCUUCGGGAUGCUGGCGAGUGGCGGACGGGUGAGUAAUGCGUAGGAACCUAUCCUUUUGUGGGGGACAACCCAGGGAAACUUGGGCUAAUACCGCAUAAGCCCUGAGGGGGAAAGCGGGGGAUCUUCGGACCUCGUGCUGAAGGAGGGGCCUACGUCCGAUUAGCUAGUUGGUGGGGUAAAGGCCUACCAAGGCGACGAUCGGUAGCUGGUCUGAGAGGACGACCAGCCACACUGGGACUGAGACACGGCCCAGACUCCUACGGGAGGCAGCAGUGGGGAAUUUUUCGCAAUGGGGGCAACCCUGACGAAGCAAUGCCGCGUGGAUGAAGAAGGCCUUCGGGUUGUAAAGUCCUUUCGUGGGGGGCGAAAAGGCGGAUCCGAAUACGGUCUGCUAUUGACGUGAACCCAAGAAGAAGCACCGGCUAACUCCGUGCCAGCAGCCGCGGUAAUACGGAGGGUGCGAGCGUUAAUCGGAAUUAUUGGGCGUAAAGGGCGCGUAGGCGGUGGGUUACGUCUGCCGUGAAAUCCCCGGGCUCAACCUGGGAAUGGCGGUGGAAACGGGCUGACUGGAGUAUGGGAGAGGGUGAUGGAAUUCCAGGUGUAGCGGUGAAAUGCGUAGAGAUCUGGAGGAACACCAGUGGCGAAGGCGGUCACCUGGCCCAAUACUGACGCUGA
rnacentral:rRNA from 1 species